UACGUAGGGGGCAAGCGUUGUCCGGAAUCAUUGGGCGUAAAGAGCGUGUAGGCGGCCCGGUAAGUCCGCUGUGAAAGUCAAAGGCUCAACCUUUGAAUGUCAGCGGAUACUGCCGGGCUAGAGUCCGGAAGAGGCGAGUGGAAUUCCUGGUGUAGCGGUGGAAUGCGCAGAUAUCAGGAGGAACACCAACGGCGAAGGCAGCUCGCUAGGACGGUACUGACGCUGAGACGCGAAAGCGUGGGGAGCAAACAGG
rnacentral:rRNA from 1 species